rnacentral:lncRNA from 1 species
AGUUUCCUGUCGCGUGGAUGUGUUUCCUCUCUGGCCAUUGCCAUCCGCCCAAAUCUACAGACAUCCCGCAUGUUCCCGGGCUCGUCUCCCCAAUACAGGGCACCAAGCAUCCUACCAAGGCGAAUCCAUUGACCAGGAUUUAAGUUGAGACUCCCCCAGGACCCCGGGUGCAGCAUCUGGGUCCCCCUGCCCCGCCCUGCCUUGCGCCGCAGCCGCUUCCGUUGUCCUGCCAGGCUGUAGACUGCGCAGCCCUCCUGGAGACAGAUGGAAGCUCCUUGGGUCGACAGAUUACAGCUUCUGGAACCCCCUACUCCCUUCAACUCCGAGAUGGACACCCACUGUCCAGGGAGAGGAUGCCUGGAAAUAACAGCUGGGAUCUACAGUGGCCAAAGAGUUGUCUCCGUCUUGCUACAUCGACAAACUGGUGCUCCUGAGUGAGGAUUGUGCCCUGGGAUGGGGGAUUCAGUUUCUUCAUUUAUAGUUGGAAGUGGGUGAAGCCACUUCGGAAGCGUUUUCCUCUCCACUCUGACAACAGGCAAGAGUGAGGGUCCAACAAUACAGAGGAAGUAACGUGUCGCUGCUACUCUUCCAUGCCCAGUGCCAGGAGCGACGGUACACUCCAGAGUGCUGUGCCCUGAUGGGCCUUUGAGUGGCCAGUGCAGUGGAUCAUCAGCCCUGUCUCCCAAGAGCUCCAGUCCCUUCUCCGGAGAGGAAGUGGGUCCACUGGCAGCUCAGGAGGCCAUAGCAGAUUGUGGGGCUCUGUGCAGUUGAUGUUAGUUAACCACUGGAUCCACGUGUUCACCGUGGCUUGCGCCCCUGCAUCCGAAAGUGAUCUUGGCUGCCGUGUCCUGGUCAUUGGUAGUGCAGGGAAAGGAUGCGGAAAGACGGGCUCCGAGCUCGGGGCGUCUGGCCUGGAGCUUUCCUACACUUGUGUCUUGCUCUGCAGCCUUACGGAAGUGUGGGUGGCGCUUUCUGGAAGCUGCACAAGUCAGUGCUGGGUCUUCGCAACUUGGUGUUCUGUUUCCAGAAACUUGGGGUGUUUGCAUGUGCUAGGUCAGCACAGAUUUCCAAAGGAUCUCUAGGUGGGUUCCCUAACUUUUCACAGAGGAGCAGAAGGUAGAUGACAGGAGGAGAGGUGGGGCUGGACUGAGGGGAGCUGUGUGUGCCAGGGUGGGGUGGGGCGGGGCGUGUAACAGCCCUUAAGCGUGUGUUGAGAGAAGGAGCUCCCUGGUACAGAGUGUGCAGCUCCCUUCCCAGCCUGUGGUCCCCGUGGCCCAAUGAGUUUUUGUAUCACUUGUGAGCCACUGGUCUUAAAAUGCAUGGUUUGCAGACCAAAAUGCAGUCCAACAUUAUUUGUUUCAUGUGUCUAUGUGAAUGCACAUAUGUAUGUAUGUCAUUUGUGCCUGGUGCCUGUGAAGAGUUUAUUGGGGGCUAGGAAUUUCAGAGGGUGACUCUUCAGGAUCUAUAUGGCUUCAGGCACGGCCAUGUUGGACAGUAGCUGGGAGCUCACAUACGUGAUAGGACCACCAGGCAGGGAGCUAACUGAAUGGCAUGGGCUUUUGGAGCCUCAAAGCUCUCCUGCCCCACCCCCAUGAUACCUCCACUAACAAGGCCAUACUUCCUAAUGGUCCCAAGCAGUUCUACCAACUAGGGACCAAAUAUUCAAGUAUAUGAGCCUAUAGGUGGAGGAACUUCCACACAGAUCCAAACUUUUAACAAAACAAAAAGCAGGAAAGCCAACUUUAUCAGAAGUUACAAUGUAAUCAGUGUCAGAAGGAAGAGAAUGGAAGUGGGAGACUGAGGUGGGGGGUAUGCUGAGGAUAUGGGAAGUGGGAGAUUGCGUGGGGGGGGGCUGAGGGUGUGGCUUUCAGUUGAGUGUCCAGCAUGGGAGGAGAAAGGGGGCUCUGGGAAGAAGCUGCUGCAGCCACCUUGUGUUCCCCCCACCCCCAGCUAAUAGCUGUGUCUUGGUUCCUGGUGAGAUCUUGGUUGACUCGGGGGUCCUGAGUGUGGCUUGUCUCUGCAGGAUUGUCACGUGUGCUCAACAGUCCUCCUCGGCUUUCCAGAAGAGGCUGGAACAGGGCCCUUGAAGAUGUUUGUGGACAUCAGAGGGCCAAAGACGACACAAAGUGAAACUGGAGACACCGCCCCCCCUUGGCAUCAUGAAACUGCCGAUGUUACUGGCUCAUGCAUGGGAGACACCAGCAUACAAAGUCUUGACACCAACACCUCAGAGGGCUGUGUUCUGUCCCCGUGACCAUCAUCUAGUGCCUGGAAAGACUAGUGACAAGAACUUGUUGCCAACUUCCUAUUACCUCCCUAACAGUUGUGCAAUAAACCCCAUAGGUUAAU